rnacentral:rRNA from 1 species
AAUACAUCGGAAUCUACUCUGUCGUGGGGGAGUAACGUAGGGAAACUUACGCUAAUACCGCAUACGACCUACGGUGAAAGCAGGGAUCUUGGACCUUGCGCGAUUGAAUGAGCCGAUGUCGGAUUAGCUAGUUGGCGGGGUAAAGGCCCGCCAAGGCGACGAUCCGUAGCUGGUCUGAGAGGAUGAUCAGCCACACUGGAACUGAGACACGGUCCAGACUCCUACGGGAGGCAGCAGAA